UUUUUUGGCAGAACUGGGGAUUGAACUCAAGCCCUUGCACUUGCCAGGGUAGUGCUUAUUCCACAGAGCCAUGCCCCUGGCCCUUAUAUUUCAUUUUUGCUAAAGAAAACCAC